AAAGCACGACAUUGCUCACAUUGCUUCCAGUGUUUUUAAGCCAGCUCGGGUGCUGGCUUUUUUUU
rnacentral:antisense_RNA from 1 species